rnacentral:rRNA from 3 species
AGCUUGUAGAAGUAUUAUAAGUAUCGCCUGCCCAGUGCGUAGUAAACGGCCGCAGAACUUUAACUGUGCGAAGGUAGCAUAAUUAUUUGUCUUUUAAUUGGUGACUGUAUGAAUGGCAAAACGGGGUUCAACUGUCUUAAUUAGGUUGUGUUGAAUUUGCUCAAGAGGUGAAAAUUCCUCUAUUUAUAAAAAAGACGAGAAGACCCUUAGAGUUUUGACUAAUAGGUGAAUUACCUUAUGUUUUAGUUGGGGCAACUUUGGAGAUAACCCUCCCAUACCUUACAAGAAAUGUGUUAGAAAGAAAAAACUACCUAAGGGAUAACAGCAUAAUCCAUUUUUGGGUUUGUGACCUCGAUGUUGGACUAGGAAAAUUCAUCCCCAGAAAGGGUGACCGAAAGCUCUGUUCGAGCCAACUCUCCU